rnacentral:rRNA from 1 species
UACGAAGGGGGCUAGCGUUGUUCGGAUUUACUGGGCGUAAAGGGUGCGUAGGCGGAUUGUUAAGUCAGGGGUGAAAUCCCGAGGCUCAACCUCGGAACUGCCUUUGAUACUGGCGAUCUUGAGUCUGGGAGAGGUGAGUGGAACUGCGAGUGUAGAGGUGAAAUUCGUAGAUAUUCGCAAGAACACCGGUGGCGAAGGCGGCUCACUGGCCCGGUACUGACGCUGAGGCACGAAAGCGUGGGGAGCAAACAGG